rnacentral:rRNA from 1 species
CCCUUAGAUGCUCUGGGCCGCACGCGCGCUACACUGGUCGAUGCAACGAGUUUCUUUCCUUGGCCGACAGGCCUGGGCAAUCUUUGAACAUCGAUCGUGAUCGGGAUAGAUUCUUGUAAUUUUUGAUCUUAAACGAGGAAUUCCUAGUAAACGCAAUUCAUCAGCUUGCAUUGAUUACGUCCCUGCCCUUUGUACACACCGCCCGUCGCACCUACCGAUUGAAUGGUCCGGUGAAAUCUCCGGACUGGCGUGAGUCGGAGCAAUCUGACAAACACCGGAAAGUUGAUUAAACCUUACCAUUUAGAGGAAGGUGAAGUCGUAACA